rnacentral:rRNA from 1 species
AUUGAACGCUGGCGGCAUGCUUAACACAUGCAGGUCGGACGGCAGCACGGUCCAGUUUACUGGAUGGGUGGCGAGUGGCGGACGGGUGAGUAACGCGUAGGAAUAUACCUUGAAGAGGGGGAUAACUUGGGGAAACUCAAGCUAAUACCGCAUGAGCUCUAAGGAGGAAAGCUGGGGACCGCAAGGACUGGCGCUUUAUGAAUAUCAUGCGUCUGAUUAGCUAGUUGGUAGGGUAAGGGCCUACCAAGGCGACGAUCAGUAGCUGGUCUGAGAGGAUGAUCAGCCACACUGGGACUGAGACACGGCCCAGACUCCUACGGGAGGCAGCAGUGGGGAAUAUUGGACAAUGGGGGCAACCCUGAUCCAGCAAUGCCGCGUGUGUGAAGAAGGCCUGAGGGUUGUAAAGCACUUUCAGUGGGGAGGAGGGUUGAUUGGUUAAGAGCUGAUUAACUGGACGUUACCCACAGAAGAAGCACCAGCUAACUCCGUGCCAGCAGCCGCAGUAAAAC